rnacentral:rRNA from 1 species
UACGGGGGGAGCAAGCGUUGUUCGGAUUUACUGGGCGUAAAGGGCGCGUAGGCGGUCAGCACAAGUCAGUUGUGAAAUCUCCGGGCUUAACUCGGAAAGGUCAACUGAUACUGUGCGACUAGAGUGCAGAAGGGGCAACUGGAAUUCCCGGUGUAGUGGUGAAAUGCGUAGAUAUCGGGAGGAACACCAGUGGCGAAGGCGACUUCCUGGCCUGUUCUUGACGCUGAGGCGCGAAAGCUAGGGUAGCAAACGGG